rnacentral:rRNA from 1 species
GUGGGGAAUUUUGGACAAUGGGCGAAAGCCUGAUCCAGCAAUGCCGCGUGCAGGAAGAAGGCCUUCGGGUUGUAAACUGCUUUUGUACGGAACGAAAAGGUCUGCCCUAAUACGGCGGGCCCAUGACGGUACCGUAAGAAUAAGCACCGGCUAACUACGUGCCAGCAGCCGCGGUAAUACGUAGGGUGCGAGCGUUAAUCGGAAUUACUGGGCGUAAAGCGUGCGCAGGCGGUGAUGUAAGACAGUUGUGAAAUCCCCGGGCUCAACCUGGGAAUUGCAUCUGUGACUGCAUCGCUAGAGUACGGUAGAGGGGGAUGGAAUUCCGCGUGUAGCAGUGAAAUGCGUAGAUAUGCGGAGGAACACCGAUGGCGAAGGCAAUCCCCUGGACCUGUACUGACGCUCAUGCACGAAAGCGUGGGGAGCAAACAGGAUUAGAUACCCUAGUAGUCC